UACGUAGGGUGCGAGCGUUAAUCGGAAUUACUGGGCGUAAAGCGUGCGCAGGCGGUUCGUUGUGUCGGCGGUGAAAUCCCCGGGCUCAACCUGGGAAUGGCCGUUGAAACUGGCGAACUGGAGUGUGGCAGAGGGGGGGUGGAAUUCCGCGUGUAGCAGUGAAAUGCGUAGAGAUGCGGAGGAACACCGAUGGCGAAGGCAGCCCCCCUGGGCUGACACUGACGCUCAGGCACGAAAGCGUGGGGAGCGAACAGGAUUAGAUACCCCAGUCCAACACGACUC
rnacentral:rRNA from 1 species